UACGUAGGGUGCAAGCGUUAAUCGGAAUUACUGGGCGUAAAGCGUGCGCAGGCGGUUGUGCAAGGCAGGUGUGAAAUCCCCGGGCUUAACCUGGGAAUGGCAUUUGGGACUGCAAGGCUGGAGUGCGGCAGAGGAGACUGGAAUUCCUGGUGUAGCAGUGAAAUGCGUAGAUAUCAGGAGGAACACCGAUGGCGAAGGCAGGUCUCUGGGCUGACACUGACGCUCAUGCACGAAAGCGUGGGGAGCAAACAGG
rnacentral:rRNA from 1 species